AACGAACGCUGGCGGCGCGCCUAAUACAUGCAAGUCGAGCGAGAAGACGUAGCAAUACGUUUGUAAAGCGGCGAACGGGUGAGGAAUACAUGGGUAACCUACCCUCGAGUGGGGAAUAACUAGCCGAAAGGUUAGCUAAUACCGCGUACGCUCCUUGGACUUCGGUUCAGGGAGGAAAGCGAUACCGUGGGUAUCGCGCUCUUGGAUGGGCUCAUGUCCUAUCAGCUUGUUGGUGAGGUAACGGCUCACCAAGGCUUCGACGGGUAGCUGGUCUGAGAGGACGACCAGCCACACUGGCACUGCGACACGGGCCAGACUCCUACGGGAGGCAGCAGUAAGGAAUAUUGCGCAAUGGGCGAAAGCCUGACGCAGCGACGCCGCGUGGGGGAGUGAAGGUCUUCGGAUUGUAAACCCCUUUCGGGAGGGAAGAUGGAACGAGCAAUCGUUCGGACGGUACCUCC
rnacentral:rRNA from 1 species